GGUUAAGCGACUAAGCGUACACGGUGGAUGCCCUGGCAGUCAGAGGCGAUGAAGGACGUGCUAAUCUGCGAAAAGCGUCGGUAAGGUGAUAUGAACCGUUAUAACCGGCGAUGUCCGAAUGGGGAAACCCAGUGUGAUCCGUCACACUAUCGUUAACUGAAUACAUAGGUUAACGAGGCGAACCGGGGGAACUGAAACAUCUAAGUACCCCGAGGAAAAGAAAUCAACCGAGAUUCCCCCAGUAGCG
rnacentral:rRNA from 1 species